UACAGAGGUCUCAAGCGUUGUUCGGGAUUCAUUGGGCGUAAAGGGUGCGUAGGUGGCGCUGUAAGUCCGGGUGUGAAAUCUCGGGGCUUAACUCCGAAACUGCAUUCGAUACUGCCGUGCUUGAGGACUGGAGAGGAGACUGGAAUUUACGGUGUAGCGGUGAAAUGCGUAGAUAUCGUAAGGAAGACCAGUGGCGAAGGCGGGUCUCUGGACAGUUCCAUGACGCUGGAGGCAACGAAGGCCCAGGGGAGCAAACGGG
rnacentral:rRNA from 1 species